UGCUGGGAUUAAAGCAAUGAGAUGGUGCCAGACCCCCCACCACUAUCCUCACCCUCCACUUGUCUUCUUAAAACUGUGAAAAAGCUUUUAACAUGGCCCUCCUGUCUCCAGGGCUGCUCUGAAGCCUGACUGAGAGGAGGCACCUGGCAGAGACAGGGGCUGAGGGAGGGAGCGAGGGAUAGCCAGGAGAGGAGCGAGGGUGCUCCACAGCGACCUCAGCAGGUGGCCUGGUCUUGCCCACUCCAGGGCUCCCAUCCUUCCUUUGGGCUCCGCUCUAACACUGGUGGCUCUGGAGGGAGGGUGGGACCCAUCCUUUUUCAAAACCUUUCCUGAAGACCACAGGGGAGCUAGCCUUGCAGGCUAGGGAGCAAGAGUGGCAACAGGCCAAGGCGAGCCCUUACCAAUUGGGAAUCCCACU
rnacentral:lncRNA from 1 species